CAAGAGUGCUGGAGUGGGGUGCCACUUCUUCCUCCAGGGGCUCUUCCCUACCUGGGGUCUCUGGUGUCCCCUGCCUGGGCAGGCGGGCUCUUUAUCCUUGAGCCAUCAGGGAAGCCCCGGAGGAGCCUUAGUUACCUGAAUAUAAAAGAGGAGUUUCAGGGCCAUCAGAGCUGACGCCUGGUGAUAGCAGUGCAGGACUCCUUGCAUAUAAUAGCCCGUGGUGAAUGCUACUUCCUCUUCCUUGGGUGCUGGGCUGGGACGGCUGGGACUCUGGAAGCUGUGUGGGUUUAGGUGGCAGAAUGUGCUAAUUUUAAUUUCCAAAUGGGUUUUCCUCCUCUGAGGCUUCUUUUCAGCUGGCCAAGUCCCCGCAGUGGGAACCACUGACCGGGGCUCCUUUCUCACAGACGUGCUAACCCUUCCCUUUGUCCCGUCUCGCUUUUACUGUCAGUCUGGUACUUGAUAUGGAAGGAGGAUGCAUCUUAACCCCGCCCCAGCGCUCCCCCGGGCGCUCCCCCGGGCGCCCCUCCAGCUUCCUGCUCCCACCUUCCGCAGGACUCGUGGGAAUUUCUGCUGGAAGCCUCCGAACGUGCCCCAGAGUGUCUACCAGAGGAUACGAUGCUGACCUUUCUAGAGUUCCUGCUAUUAGUCCCUGAAGAUCCCAGAAACCCACCCAGCGCCCAGCCCCAUGCCUGCGGGCUCAUCUCUGACCUCCCUCUCCUCUUCCCAAACCACGUCGCACACGUGCCUCACCAGGAACUCGCGUCCUGUCUUCGCGUCCCACCGGUUCUUCCUGAGUAGGCGACUGUCCUUGGAGCCUCCACCGCCAUGAAAAGGCCACACUCUUAGUUGUCCUCGGCUUUUUUAAACGUUAAUUUUUAAACUUU